rnacentral:rRNA from 1 species
UGGGGAAUAUUGCACAAUGGGCGCAAGCCUGAUGCAGCCAUGCCGCGUGUGUGAAGAAGGCCUUCGGGUUGUAAAGCACUUUCAGCGGGGAGGAAGGCGGUGAGGUUAAUAACCUCAUCGAUUGACGUUACCCGCAGAAGAAGCACCGGCUAACUCCGUGCCAGCAGCCGCGGUAAUACGGAGGGUGCAAGCGUUAAUCGGAAUUACUGGGCGUAAAGCGCACGCAGGCGGUCUGUCAAGUCGGAUGUGAAAUCCCCGGGCUCAACCUGGGAACUGCAUUCGAAACUGGCAGGCUAGAGUCUUGUAGAGGGGGGUAGAAUUCCAUGUGUAGCGGUGAAAUGCGUAGAGAUGUGGAGGAAUACCGGUGGCGAAGGCGGCCCCCUGGACAAAGACUGACGCUCAGGUGCGAAAGCGUGGGGAGCAAACAGG